AGUGCCCAGAAAUUGUGGGUGACGUACAGCCUGCUCCCAAAAGGAUCAAGUUUGAUGAAGAUUAGGCUUUUGAGGAAAUUUCAAUGGAAAAUAUUAUGAAAAUUUUGUUUCAGCGCAAUUAUCUUUUUCAUUUAACGUGGAUGAAAAUUUUGACAUGCUUGCUCCACUUUUCUGCUCGGGUCAUUACAGGUAAACAAAUAGGCAACUUUCAUGAAGUAGGUCAUUGCCAGAAAUUCUAACUAAGCUGUGUAUCAAAGAAUCAGCAAAGCAACCUAUAUGAAGCUUAUGUGAACUGCGUUUUGUUUACUUCUGCAUAGGUUUCUAACAGUAUAAUGCUCCGUUACUUAACUGACGUCCCC
rnacentral:misc_RNA from 1 species